rnacentral:rRNA from 1 species
UAAUACGUAGGGUGCGAGCGUUAAUCGGAAUUACUGGGCGUAAAGCGUGCGCAGGCGGCUUCGCAAGUCAGACGUGAAAUCCCCGGGCUUAACCUGGGAAUGGCGUUUGAAACUACGGAGCUGGAGUGUGGCAGAGGGAGGUAGAAUUCCACGUGUAGCGGUGAAAUGCGUAGAUAUGUGGAGGAAUACCGAUGGCGAAGGCAGCCUCCUGGGCCAACACUGACGCUCAUGCACGAAAGCGUGGGGAGCAAACAGG